GACGAACGCUGGCGGCGUGCCUAAUACAUGCAAGUAGAACGCUGAAGGAGGAGCUUGCUCUUCUGGAUGAGUUGCGAACGGGUGAGUAACGCGUAGGUAACCUGCCUGGUAGCGGGGGAUAACUAUUGGAAACGAUAGCUAAUACCGCAUAACAGUAGAUGUUGCAUGACAUUUGCUUAAAAGGUGCAAUUGCACCACUACCAGAUGGACCUGCGUUGUAUUAGCUAGUUGGUGGGGUAACGGCUCACCAAGGCGACGAUACAUAGCCGACCUGAGAGGGUGAUCGGCCACACUGGGACUGAGACACGGCCCAGACUCCUACGGGAGGCAGCAGUAGGGAAUCUUCGGCAAUGGACGGAAGUCUGAACGAGCAACGCCGCGUGAGGGAAGAAGGUUUUCGGAUCGUAAAGCUCUGUUGUAAGAGAAGAAAGAGUGUGAGAGUGGAAAGUUCACACUGUGACGGUAUCUUACCAGAAAGGGACGGCUAACUACGUG
rnacentral:rRNA from 1 species